GACGAACGCUGGCGGCGUGCUUAACACAUGCAAGUCGAACGGAAAGGCCCUGCUUGCAGGGUACUCGAGUGGCGAACGGGUGAGUAACACGUGGGUGAUCUGCCCUGCACUUCGGGAUAAGCCUGGGAAACUGGGUCUAAUACCGGAUAGGAGCCAUUUUUAGUGUGAUGGUUGGAAAGUUUUUUCGGUGUAGGAUGAGCUCGCGGCCUAUCAGCUUGUUGGUGGGGUAAUGGCCUACCAAGGCGGCGACGGGUAGCCGGCCUGAGAGGGUGGACGGCCACAUUGGGACUGAGAUAAGGCCCAGACGCCGACGGGAGGAAGCAGUGGGGAAUAUUGCACAAUGGGCGCAAGCCUGAUGCAGCGACGCCGCGGGGGGGAUGACGGCCUUCGGGUUGUAAACUCCUUUCGCUAGGGACGAAGCUUUUUGUGACGGUACCUAGAUAAGAAGCACCGGCUAACUACGUG
rnacentral:rRNA from 1 species